rnacentral:rRNA from 1 species
UGUAGCUUGCUACAUUUCCUAGCGGCGGACGGGUGAGUAAUGCUUAGGAAUCUGCCUAUUAGUGGGGGACAACGUUUCGAAAGGAACGCUAAUACCGCAUACGCCCUACGGGGGAAAGCAGGGGAUCACUUGUGACCUUGCGCUAAUAGAUGAGCCUAAGCCAGAUUAGCUAGUUGGUGGGGUAAAGGCCUACCAAGGCGACGAUCUGUAGCGGGUCUGAGAGGAUGAUCCGCCACACUGGGACUGAGACACGGCCCAGACUCCUACGGGAGGCAGCAGUGGGGAAUAUUGGACAAUGGGGGGAACCCUGAUCCAGCCAUGCCGCGUGUGUGAAGAAGGCCUUUUGGUUGUAAAGCACUUUAAGCGGGGAGGAGGCUCUUCUAGUUAAUACCUAGGAUGAGUGGACGUUACCCGCAGAAUAAGCACCGGCUAACUCUGUGCCAGCAGCCGCGGUAAUACAGAGGGUGCGAGCGUUAAUCGGAUUUACUGGGCGUAAAGCGUACGUAGGCGGCUUUUUAAGUCGGAUGUGAAAUCCCUGAGCUUAACUUAGGAAUUGCAUUCGAUACUGGGAAGCUAGAGUAUGGGAGAGGAUGGUAGAAUUCCAGGUGUAGCGGUGAAAUGCGUAGAGAUCUGGAGGAAUACCGAUGGCGAAGGCAGCCAUCUGGCCUAAUACUGACGCUGAGGUACGAAAGCAUGGGGAGCAAACAGGAUUAGAU